rnacentral:rRNA from 2 species
UACGUACCGUCCAAACGUUAUUCGGAAUUACUGGGCUUAAAGGGUACGUAGGCGGCGCUGUUAGUCGGGUGUGAAAUCCCUCGGCUCAACCGAGGAAUUGCGCCCGAUACUGCAGUGCUUGAGGGAGACAGAGGUAAGCGGAACUGAUGGUGGAGCGGUGAAAUGCGUUGAUAUCAUCAGGAACACCAGUGGCGAAAGCGGCUUACUGGGUCUCUUCUGACGCUGAGGUACGAAAGCUAGGGGAGCGAAGGGG